UCAUUUUUGUGGUGCUAGUUACAACUUCACUGAGUGUUGGCAGUGAGAACUGACAAUUGAGACAAAGAACAGAAAGCUGGGAAGUAAGAAGACUCCUUCCACCCCUCCCACAUUUAAAUACAAACAUGCUUAAUGACUCAUCCUUUAAUGGAAUGCAAAUGACAAACACAGUGAAGAUUCCCUAGUACAGCACCUAUCAUCCGUAGAAUUUAAGGAAACAAGUGCUGGUAAGGACGCAGAGAAACAGGAACCCUUAUACAUGGUGCAGUCUGUAUGAAAAGAGUUUGAUUUUUCCUCAAAAAGUUGACCACAGACUUACUAUACUGCUCAGCCUUCUAUUCUUAAGUAGCUAUUCAGAACUGAAGACAUACAUUCAACAAAAAUGGGUGUGGUCUUUACAUCUGUCAAGGUCAUGACAAUGAUGAACUGUCCCAUAGUGAGUCCCAGAAAAAGAAAACUGUUUCCAAAUAGAAAAAUAUUUUUCUCCCAGGCAAGGCAGAUGGUAAAAGGGAAGCGGGCAUUAUCCUGUACAAACUGCACUGAUUUCUGGCACAGCAUUAACCUAACCUAAUUGUAAAUGACAAACCAAACAAUACACUAAAGUCUAGCCCUAACCAUAUACCAAACAUGACACAAACUCCAACUUAAACACUUAGUUACAAACCUUAUAUUAACAUAAAACUAACCCUAAUCCUAUCUUAACUGAUAAAGCCUAAACCAGAGCCCGGACCCUAAACUCUAAUCCAACACCCAAAACCAACACUAACCCUGCCAUUUACCCUAACCUGACCCUAGUUUCUGACUGUGGAGUGCCCUCUCCCACCAACCUCCCUGUCCAUCCUGCCCCUCUUCACAGGUCUGGACUCCUUACCUGUUGAACCCUGCAGGCAUGCUGCUCAGAUCUCAGCGAGACCUAGGUAGGCUUUGCAGGAAGACUAGUGAAGAACUCAAGAUGAUGCCAAAACCACAAGCACAAAAGGAAAAUUGCUUUUCAGUAACAGCUCCUUGCUAUGUGCCCUUCACCUAUGAGCUGGAGAGAGGAUGUGUGGCUCCCAGGAAGGGUAAGGUAAGAUGGAAUCAGAUUCAGACCUUCAAUCUUCCACUAAAAAGUCAAGAAUUGGUGUCAUUGCUGUGGUAAACUAUGGUGUUACAUGCAGAUCACUCUUCUUUAAUGAAUAGUCAUAUAUGUGAGCUAUUGUACAAAGUGUCUUGAUAUUUGUUUUGUGCACAAUAGAGUUUUGUUACAUUUUCAAGUUUCAUGUUGUAUUUUGUGGGCUUUUAGUGCAACUGGUACCCUUGAAGGAUGUGUGUUCCAGAAAACUAGCAAACUGGUCUUCCUGAGUGAAUGAGACUUUGUAGACUGUUCCCAGCCUCAAGCCAAUCAGGGCUUCAAGGACGUUCUGAUGGACUGUGCCUUCUAGUAUGCUGAGUACAGUGGAGACCUAGACCUAGAGGAAUCUUAUCGAUGUGGAGAAGGGCAACUGGAGCUCCUUGUGUUACUGUCAUUCAAGCUCUGAUUUUAGAAAGUGGAACCAUCUCAUUGAUUAUAGGCACAGUUCUCCUUUCAGAUGAUAGGUUCUACAUUUACAAAUUGUUAACCUUUUUCAUUAGAAAUUGUCAGCUUGAUUUCUAAUUAGAUUGUUAAUAUACAGCUGUUCCACAUUGCAUAGAGAAUAUAUGUAAAAUUCUUCACAUCAUGUACAUUUCUUCAUAAUAAAAAUCUCUUUGAAGAGGCA